CUACAGAAGAUAAAGAGAAAUUAUAAACAGUAGAAAUGAUCGGCAAAACAAGAUUUACAGAAGACAACAAGGCCACUUCUAUAAAGGUCAGACAUCUUGGUUUUAAUGAUCAUCAACAGGUCAAUACUGAAGAGGAAACUUAAGUUGAUAUUUUUCUACAUUGUGUACUAAUUGGAUUAAUGUGAAAUGGAAUGUGUGCUUUCCUGCAAAAAGAAAUAGGAAAUUUCAACAAAAUGGCUAUAAACAAAAUGGAGUUCUAUCAUAGAUGCACAAGAACACAAUUAUGUAAAUACAACAACAUACAUAGUCAUUGAAAGAAGGGAGAAAUGUAGAAAAAAUAGUAUUUUGUUGUCGAAAUGAACACCUGCUUUAUCAACUCAUUUACAUCGCUCCCUCAUAUCAAAUAUACAGAGGAAGUUCUUUAAAGAACAAAUUGCAAAAAAUGUUUUCUCUAAGAAUUGAAGGAAAAUGUCUAGUCAUGUAGUGGAUGGAAUAAUUUAUGCACUGAACCCUUAUAUCAUGUGUAUAGUGGAUUGAAUAAUUGUACACAGCAGCUGAAACAGAAGAAAAUUUAAAUUAACAUGAAAUGUGUUUAUUUUAUUUAAUCUGCAAAUAUGAACACAAUAUUAAGAACAACACAAAUUGUAUGAUAUUCAGAUUGGUUGCUUAUUAAUGUAUUGCAAUGAAACAAUAACAAAGAAAACAAAAAACAAAAAACUUUGCUACAAAAAAUAUUUUAUGAAUCAAAAUUAAAGUCAUAUAAAGAAUGUACAAUACCUAGACCAAAACAUCAGACUGUAUUGUUUUUGUAUGUCAUGUUACUCAUCAGUCAAAAAUUUAUUAAAGUUUUAAAUAU